AACGAACGCUGGCGGCAGGCUUAACACAUGCCAGUCGAACGCCCCGCCAGGGGAGUGGCCGACGGGUGCGUAACGCGUGGGAAUCUACCCAUCCCUACGGAAUAACGCAUGGAAACGUGUGCUAAUACCGUAUACGCCCUACGGGGGAAAGAUUUAUCGGGGAUGGAUGAGCCCGCGUUGGAUUAGCUAGUUGGUGGGGUAAAGGCCUACCAAGGCGACGAUCCAUAGCUGGUCUGAGAGGAUGAUCAGCCACAUUGGGACUGAGACACGGCCCAAACUCCUACGGGAGGCAGCAGUGGGGAAUAUUGGACAAUGGGCGCAAGCCUGAUCCAGCCAUGCCGCGUGAGUGAUGAAGGCCUUAGGGUUGUAAAGCUCUUUCACCGGAGAAGAUAAUGACGGUAUCCGGAGAAGAAGCCCCGGCUAACUUCGUG
rnacentral:rRNA from 1 species